CGGACGGGUGAGUAACGCGUGAGAAUUCGCCUUUAGGCGGGGAAUAACUAUAGGAAACCAUAGCUAAUGCCCCAUAUGCUCGCAAGAGUGAAAGGAGAAAUCCACCCAAAGAGAAGCUCGCGGCUGAUUAGCUAGUUGGUAAGGUAAUGGCUUACCAAGGCGACGAUCAGUAGCUGGUUUGAGAGAACGAUCAGCCACACUGGAACUGAGACACGGUCCAGACUCCUACGGGAGGCAGCAGUGGGGAAUUUUCCGCAAUGGGCGAAAGCCUGACGGAGCAAUACCGCGUGAGGGAUGACGGCCUUGGGGUUGUAAACCUCUUUUAUCAAGGAGGAAGUUCUGACGUGUACUUGAUGAAUAAGCAUCGGCUAACUCCGUGCCAGCAGCCGCGGUAAGACGGAGGAUGCAAGUGUUGUCCGGAAUCACUGGGCGUAAAGCGUCUGUAGGUGGUUUAAAAAGUCUGCUGUUAAAAGUUGAAGCUUAACUUCAAAGAUGCCGUAGAAACUUUUAAACUUGAGUUUGGUAGGGGUAGAGGGAAUUUUCAGUGGAGCGGUGAAAUGCGUAGAUAUUGGAAAGACCACCAAUGGCGAAGGCACUCUACUGGGCCAUUACUGACACUGAGAGACGAAAGCUAGGGGAGCAAAUGGGAUUAGAUACCCCAGUAGUC
rnacentral:rRNA from 1 species